rnacentral:tRNA from 1 species
GCGCCGGUAGUGUAAAGGCGUAGAGCAUUCCCGCCCGGUUAGAGGGAGGUGCGGGUUCGAGUCCCGCCUGGCGCU